AAAAAAAAACACAAAUUCCUAUUUUCUAAGCUGCCUCCACUGCGAUUGCUGACUAUAUCGCAGUCUGCGACGACUGAUGUGUCACCGGUCACCGCCGCGACGGCACCUACAAUUACCACUGCGACCUGCGGCGGAAUCUGCGACACCACUGCAAUCUGUUCCUGCUCGUGAUUGACUCAAAGGCGCCAAAAAAACUGUUUGAAGGAGAGCAUACCACAUUGGCUUCUUUGGCAAGUCUGGAGCAAACAGCACCUGUAGAAUUUUGAUCCUCAUCAAACCAACCAACUUCAAAAGUGAGUAUCUUGGAAAGCAUUCUUUCUCUAACCCUCUUAGUCAAGUACUCUCCCAUGUAAGCAAAGCUAUAGUGUUGAAGCACAUUUAAAACCAUUGUCGACAAAGCCAACCCUAGAAAACAAAAUGCAUAGAUCCUAAUUUGUUUCUUGAUCUCAUCACGGUUCUCUAGAAAAUAAACUGAUGCAACUGACCCUGUUGAAAAUGCAUACAAAGGAUUAACCGCACCGAAGAAAAUCGCACUCAAACAACCCAAACACACUUGCUUCCACUCUGGAAAAUUCAUUGCCAACAACCUUCGAAAUGAAGGAACCUUUACCUUCUUCUUCUCCCUCUCCUCCUCAUUAUAGAUAUUAUUAUUCUUAUUAUUAUUAUUAAAUACCUCAACAUUAUUAACGAUAUCUCCAACAACAUUUUUACCGUUAACAAUAUCCCCACCACCACGUUUCAUUGAGUCAAAAGAGCUAGAAUGUGCUGCGUGUCUAUAACUAUUUGUGUUUUGCAUGUGAUCUAUAUUAAUGAUAGAUGGAGUAUCUUCGUUUUGGUCAUUUUUGGUUUGCUGGAUAUGAACGAGGGAAGUGUAAAGCGAAUUGUUAUUUUGAAUGAGGCUCUCGUGAGAUCCCGUUUCCACGAUUCUACCAUUUUGAACGAAUGCAAUGAUGUCUGCAUUUUGAAUGGUGGAUAAGCGGUGAGCGAUGAUGAUGGUGGUGCGUCCAACCACGACUUUGUCUAGAGCUUCUUGGACUACUCGCUCGGAUUCAGAAUCGAGUGCACUUGUUGCUUCGUCUAGCAAUAGAAUUCUUGGCAUUUUUAUUAUGGCUCUUGCAAUGGCAAUCCUUUGCUUUUGUCCUCCUGACAUUUGUAUUCCGCUCUCCCCAACCUGUAUUAGUAUGCAUAUUAACAUCUUAAGUUUAACUACUAUGUUAAGGUUGAAGUUUUGGAUCUAGAAACUAUAAAGUGUCUGCAAUGAUUUUUUAUGUGAUUCAGCUGGGCGUUCCAAUAUUUGGACAGAUAAAGGAAGACACAAAAAGUAAUAUAGAGCCGAUUCCAGCACUUCUGCAACAUGUCAUUGAUCACUUUAUUCAAUGGCACUUACUUCUCUAAUUUAGUGGAAUUAGUUUGAUUCAUGUGAGUAUGAUUCAUGCAAUUUGAAUGGGAAAGAUAAGGUGCUUCAUGUACGUGGACCACCAUACUAGUGUUUUUUUUAUUUUAUGAAAUUAUUAUAACAGAUUUCACUUGCUGAAGAAUAAGGAAUAUAAGCUAUUGUUUAAAUGAUUGAAAAUUGAUUUUUAGUGAGAAUAUUCAAAAACCAUUUUGGCUUAUUCAGUAGUAGUAUAUACCAUUAUUGGAUUAGAUUAAGUUGCUUAAAGUGGAUGAAUAUGAUAUGUAGCACUUCCCAAAAGUUGAACAUUAAUAAUAUUUAUGUUAUCUAGAGGCAUAAUAGUUUUGGCUUAAAUGCAUUUACCCCCCUAUUUAUAUUUGGUUUAUAGCAAAAUGACAGAAGCAAUUAGCACUAACCUGA